UGGGCAUUCAUUAAUCUCAAGGCCAGGGCAUGGAAUGGAAGGACUUCAAAGGAAUCUCAGAGCUAGAGCAGUGGGACCGGGCUGGUGUUCUCUGUGGCAAGAGUGGGGACUUGGGAGCCUGGUAGGGAUUGAUGGGCUGGCCGGCAGGGGAUCUCCAAGGAACCCGCUUUGCUGUAAUUGCUGUUUCUUUGGUGAGGGCAAACUGUCCCUCUCCAGUUUUCCAGAGAUCUGUGAAGGGGGGUUCGGACCCCUUCCAGACACAGUCCCGCAAGUACUCAUGGACGGAACCCAAGUUUUACACCGAGUGUGCCCAGAUGAUUUCUAUCACAGGCCAAAAACACAAGCGAUUCCACUUAGGAAAGAAUUGACAACGGGUGUAUGAUGGUGUUUUGCUGAAAAGGAUGAUGUAGGAAUCCAGGGGAGUUUAUUUUGCUUUGAGGGAGAGAGUCUGAAGGCUGUGGUCCCUUACAGGCUUGUAAUAGGGGCACAUUCCUCCUCUCUUGGGGCUCCCUUUACUCAUCUGCUAAGUGAAGGGUGGGUCUAGGGCAUGGCCCUUGAGUCUGACCCUCUUGAGAUUGGAGACAUUUGCUAACCAACACCCCACCCCUGGGGAGUAGGCUAGUUGUUUCAGCAGGGUGAUGGGGCCACUUCAGAGGGAUUGUGGGGGUUCAGCCUCCUUAUAAAGAGUAGGGAAAACUCUGAGGUCAGGUUUUAGUGGGGAACACAAAAUUCAGAACCUGCUGCAGGUGAAGGACCACAGGAAAGAGGAAGCCAGGAAUAUGGUACAGUGAGCCUGUCUUAGGACCCUGCAGACCUAAAGACAACUAAAGAGGGACCAAAGAACCCCUGUCCAUGCCUGGUCCACUGCUCUGAACUUCCCUUGGGGCUCUCAGAAGGUCUCUGAGCCACCUGGGGGAUGUUCACCCCCCUAUGGUUAUGGCAAACGUCUGGUUCUAGAUUGGACUGGGAUCUGUCACUUACACCCUUCUCCCCUGUUCUUUGCCCACCUAGUGCUGAGGUCCAGGACAGAGGUGAUUGACUUGAGUCACAGCUAAGCUUGGUCUGUGGUGGUGCCAAGUCACCAUGGUCAGGUGAAUUUGGGAGGACUGAGGUAGAGGUUCAGGAGUGUCAGCAGCAGGGUGGGCAUCUAUGAGUCAAUCAACCUGGCACCUUUGUCAGGGACAGCUGAGCUUUGG
rnacentral:lncRNA from 1 species